rnacentral:sRNA from 1 species
UUAUAGAAACACUAAAAAAACUAUUUAUUGUUUCUAAGCAAUAUUUUGUUGGUUGUAGCUUCUUUUGGGAGUAAAUGGGUAUAAGUGUUGUCUAAACACUUGUAAUCCAUCUCUAAAUCUAUAAUUAGUCAAAUGCAUUGGAUUAUAAAACAUUUUGACCAUCGACACACUAACAAAGCUAUUUACUGCUUCUAAGCAAAUUUUUGUUGGUUUUAGCCUCUUUUGGGAGAAAAUGGGUAUAAUUGUUGUCUAAACACUCCUAAUCCAUCUCUAACUCUAUAAUUAGUCCAAUGCAUUCGAUUGUGAAACAUUUUGACUAUAGAAACACUAACAAAUCUAUUGACUGCUUUUAAGCAAAUUUUUUUGGUUUUAGCCUCUUUUGGCCGAAAAUGGGUAUAAGUGUUAUCUAAACACUCCUAAUCCAUCUCUAACUCUUAUAAUUAGUCGAAUGCAUUGGAUUGUGAUACAUUUUGACCAUAUAAACACUAACAAAGCUAUUUAGUGCUUCUAAGCAAUAUUUUGUUGGUUAUAGCUUCUUUAGGGAGAAAAUGAGUAUAAUUAUUGUCUAAAUACGCCUACUCAAUCUCUAACUCUUAUAAUUAGUCGAAUGCAUUGGAUUGUGAAACAUUUUGACUAUAGAAACACUAACAAAUCUAUUGACUGCUUCUAAGCAAAUGUUUGUUGGUUUUAGCCUCGUUUGGGAUAAAAUGGGUAUAAGUGUUGUCUAAACACUCCAAAUCCAUCUCUAACUCUUAUAAUUAGUCGAAUGCAUUAGAUUGUGAUACCUUUUGACCAUAUAAACACUAACAAAGCUAUUUACUGCUUCUUAGCAAUAUUUUGUUGGUUAUAGCUUCUUUUGGGAGAAAAUGGGUAUAAGUGUUCUCUAAACACUCCUAAUCCAUCUCUAACUCUUAUAAUUAGGCAAAUGCAUUGGAUUGUGACACAUUUUGACUAUAGAAACUCUAACAAAUUUAUUGAAUGCUUCUAAGCAAGUUUUGUUGGUUUUAGACUCUUUUGGCAGAAAAUGGGUAUAAGUGUUGUCUAAACACUCCGAAUUCAUCUAUAACUCUUAU